UGCAGCGGGUCAUAUAAUGAUAAUAUGAUAUUAUAAAUUACAAUAAUGGAUUAUUAUGUAAAACUCGUUGGUCCGUCGCUUGUUAUAAUAUUCUACGUGUUAUAUAUAACAGUGUGUGUGUGUGUGUGUGUGUGCGUGCGUGCGCUUGUGUGUGUACAAUGUCAUCGACACUGUGCGA